rnacentral:lncRNA from 1 species
GGCUGUUGGGCGGUCGACCAUGGGGCCGGAGGGAGUUCGGCCAUUGCGGCGCGGACGGCGGAGGUGAUAGCCUCCUGGAGCGAGGGGACGUAAGUAGCGGCGUCGGAGGUGGUGGGGACGGGGUCGACGAUGGGGACGGUAGGGGCGGAGUGGACGAUAGGGGGGAUGGGAGAGGGGUCGAGCGUGAAUGGCGACAUGUGGACGUUGCCCGGAAGUUCCGCAGACCGUGAACGGGAGCGGUCGCGGUGGGCUUCUGUGGGGACGAGAGCCAUUGGAGGAUGACGAAGACGAAGAUGACCAGCAAAGCGAUGACGAUAACGAUGACGAUGACGAAGGCUGAAAGGAACUGGCUCCAGUUGGCGACUGGAGGAAGCAUUAGUUCCUAACUUGCCCGAUCUGCAGAGCCCGACAUCAAUCGCUGACUGAGAGACAAGGAAGAGAAGAAUACUAAGCUUACAAAUAAUGGUGUAGGAAUGCCUUAAAUAGUCUGGCAAAGCCUUGCACGACACAGAGUCGUACCGAUCAAAGACAAACCAUACGUACUCGGUAACGAACACAAAUCCCUUACAUUUCCCCGGUCUUUCAAAGCUGCAACGUCCUCGUUGCCAUUACAGUCGCAAGCACAAGGUUCCCUUGCAUACUGCAACUCACUGCUUUCAUCACAACAGUGGGCAUGCUCAGGCAACUGCACCCCCAUACAAUGCCAUGGCAUGACUACAUAUGGGACUCAGACAGCUAACCACAUAAGGCAAGGUGUUCCAGCUAAGAAAAACCCAAAGACAGCAUAGCUUGGUUCAAAUGAAAAGCAUGACUGUGUGAGCUCCGGAAUGAUUGCAUCUACUGCACACAUAAGCACACAUGAGAACUCGAAGGAAAGUAAGAACGGAGAAUCUCGUGAAGGUGAUGGUAGGUCUCUUUUGAGCACUCGGCUGGGCGCCCCGGUCGACUUGAGCCAAAACAUAGGGGCACCCCGACACAAGGGCCAACAUCGAGCUCCAUGGCAUGAUGAGAUGUGAUGGCCUUUAGCGUGACGUUGGAUCGACGACGAAGAUUACGAAAACGAUUGAACUCGUGAAACGUGGGGUACGCAAGCAUCCAGUCGCUGUCAACCCGGUGCACUCCUGCCGUGGAGGCUGCUGCAACACGAGCACGCAUACAACCUACACGACGGGCAGGCAUACUGGCGACCAGGGCACGGCGAUUAACGUUGAACGAACGAGGUAGACGGCGGGUUGUCAGCUUCCGCAAACGAUAGAAGCAAACGGAUAUGGCCCCAUUCUUGAGCCCGAAACGAACGUGAAACUGCAGUCCAGCGCAAGGUGUCCAAACUUGGCCGGCUGUCGAACGACGGUAAGGCGUUCUGAUCCAACUGAAAAGGAAAGAGCUCCGAUUUCAAGUUGUGACACCAACUGUUACACUCGGAGUGGAGCGACUUGAGCCGACUUGCACACAACAGUGGCGUACAAAGCUGAAUGUCAGUACCGAAGAGCGAUGAACCCGGUAGUUACGAGAUGCGGGUGAACGACCGGCAACACGGGCCGGCAAACAAACGAUCGUGCGGUGGCGCGAAGUGCAAAAGCAGUGACGAUGGGAAAACAGCUCCAAUACGGACCGAGGCAGGAUUGAACCAUAACUCGAUACCAUAUGAAAGGAACUGGCUCCAGUUGGCGACUGGAGGAAGCAUUAGUUCCUAACUUGCCCGAUCUGCAGAGCCCGACAUCAAUCGCUGACUGAGAGACAAGGAAGAGAAGAAUACUAAGCUUACAAAUAAUGGUGUAGGAAUGCCUUAAAUAGUCUGGCAAAGCCUUGCACGACACAGAGUCGUACCGAUCAAAGACAAACCAUACGUACUCGGUAACGAACACAAAUCCCUUACAAAGGCGAUGACGAUGACGAUGACGAUGACGACGAUGACGAAGACGGAGACGAAGACGAUAAAGACGAAGGCGGAGCGAAGCGUAUAGGCCGGAUCGUCUAGAUCGAUACCAACUGAAAGGGCAUAGGCUCCGUUUCUCGUUGGGAUGCCACGAUGAUUACAAAGAGGGCCGAGCGACUUAAGCCAGCUAACAACCUACAAGAUGUAAC